CGGCGUGCUUAAUACAUGCAAGUCAACUUGACUUUAGAUAGCAAUAUCGAAAAGUAGGGUGGCGCACGGGUGCGUAACGCGUAGGUAAUCUGCCCUGAGGUCUGACAUAACCCGUCGAAAGGCGGGCUAACAUCAGAUGAUAUAUAAUCACGACAUCGUGGAAAUAUCAAAUCUUCGGAGCCUUGGGAUGAGCCUGCGUCUGAUUAGGUAGUUGGCGGAGUAAUAGCCCACCAAGCCUACGAUCAGUAGCUGGUCUGAGAGGAUGAUCAGCCACACUGGAACUGAGACACGGUCCAGACUCCUACGGGAGGCAGCAGUAAGGAAUAUUGCUCAAUGGGGGGAAACCCUGAAGCAGCAACGCCGCGUGAAGGAUGAAAUACUUUGUAUGUAAACUUCUGUAAGAUGGGAAAAAUAUUCUCCUCGGGAGAAUUGAUUGUACCAUCAGAGUAAGCCCCGGCUAACUACGUG
rnacentral:rRNA from 1 species